AGUGAACGCUGGCGGUAGGCCUAACACAUGCAAGUCGAACGGCAGCACAGUAAGAGCUUGCUCUUACGGGUGGCGAGUGGCGGACGGGUGAGGAAUACAUCGGAAUCUACUUUUUCGUGGGGGAUAACGUAGGGAAACUUACGCUAAUACCGCAUACGACCUACGGGUGAAAGCAGGGGAUCUUCGGACCUUGCGCGAUUGAAUGAGCCGAUGUCGGAUUAGCUAGUUGGCGGGGUAAAGGCCCACCAAGGCGACGAUCCGUAGCUGGUCUGAGAGGAUGAUCAGCCACACUGGAACUGAGACACGGUCCAGACUCCUAAGGGAGGCAGCAGUGGGGAAUAUUGGACAAUGGGCGCAAGCCUGAUCCAGCCGUACCGCGUGGGUGAAGAAGGCCUUCGGGUUGUAAAGCCCUUUUGUUGGGAAAGAAAAGCAGCAGGUUAAUACCCCGCUGUUCUGACGGUACCCAAAGAAUAAGCACCGGCUAACUUCGUG
rnacentral:rRNA from 1 species